rnacentral:tRNA from 1 species
GGGGCCAUAGCUCAGCUGGGAGAGCGCCUGCUUUGCACGCAGGAGGUCGACGGUUCGAUCCCGUCUGGCUCCACCA